UACAGAGGGUGCGAGCGUUACUCGGAAUUACUGGGCGUAAAGCGUGCGUAGACGGUUAUUUAAGUCGGGUGUGGAAGCCCCGGGCUCAACCUGGGAAUUGCAUUCGAGACUGAAUAGCUAGGGUACGGUAGAGGGAAGCGGAAUUUCCGGUGUAGCGGUGAAAUGCGUAGAUAUCGGAAGGAACAUCAGUGGCGAAAGCGGCUUCCUGGACCAGUACCGACGUUCAGGCACGAAAGCGUGGGGAGCAAACAGG
rnacentral:rRNA from 1 species